UACGUAGGGGGCAAGCGUUAUCCGGAUUUACUGGGUGUAAAGGGAGCGUAGACGGCUUUGCAAGCCAGAUGUGAAAGCCCGGGGCUCAACCCCGGGACUGCAUUUGGAACUGUGUGGCUAGAGUGUCGGAGAGGCAGGCGGAAUUCCUAGUGUAGCGGUGAAAUGCGUAGAUAUUAGGAGGAACACCAGUGGCGAAGGCGGCCUGCUGGACGAUGACUGACGUUGAGGCUCGAAAGCGUGGGGAGCAAACGGG
rnacentral:rRNA from 1 species